rnacentral:rRNA from 1 species
UACGAAGGGGGCUAGCGUUGCUCGGAAUCACUGGGCGUAAAGGGUGCGUAGGCGGGCAUUUAAGUCAGGGGUGAAAUCCUGGAGCUCAACUCCAGAACUGCCUUUGAUACUGAAGAUCUUGAGUUCGGGAGAGGUGAGUGGAACUGCGAGUGUAGAGGUGAAAUUCGUAGAUAUUCGCAAGAACACCAGUGGCGAAGGCGGCUCACUGGCCCGAUACUGACGCUGAGGCACGGAAGCGUGGGGAGCAAACAGG